rnacentral:tRNA from 1 species
GGUCCCAUCGUCUAGCGGCCUAGGACACUGGCCUCUCACGCCAGGAACACGGGUUCGAGUCCCGUUGGGAUCA